GAUGAACGCUGGCGGCGUGCCUAAUACAUGCAAGUCGAACGAAGAUCUAGCUUGCUAGAUCUUAGUGGCGAACGGGUGAGUAAUACAUAAAUAAUCUGCCCAUAUGACUGGGAUAACUAUUGGAAGCGAUAGCUAAUACCGGAUAGGUUGAUUGGAGGCAUCUCUGAUUAAUUAAAGUAGGAUUUCUACACAAAUGGAUGAGUUUAUGGCGCAUUAGUUAGUUGGUGGGGUAACGGCCUACCAAGACGAUGAUGCGUAGCCGACCUGAGAGGGUGACCGGCCACACUGGGACUGAGACACGGCCCAGACUCCUACGGGAGGCAGCAGUAGGGAAUUUUCGGCAAUGGGCGCAAGCCUGACCGAGCAACGCCGCGUGAGUGAUUAAGGCCUUCGGGUUGUAAAGCUCUGUUGUAAGGGAAGAACAUUCAGGAUAGGAAAUGAUCUUGAACUGACGGUACCUUACCAGAAAGCCACGGCUAACUACGUGCCAGCCGCCGCAGUAACAC
rnacentral:rRNA from 1 species